UACGAAGGGGGCUAGCGUUGCUCGGAAUCACUGGGCGUAAAGGGUGCGUAGGCGGGUCUUUUAAGUCAGGGGUGAAAUCCUGGAGCUCAACUCCAGAACUGCCUUUGAUACUGAGGAUCUUGAGUUCGGGAGAGGUGAGUGGAACUGCGAGUGUAGAGGUGAAAUUCGUAGAUAUUCGGAAGAACACCAGUGGCGAAGGCGGCUCACUGGCCCGGUACUGACGCUGAAAUACGAAAGCGUGGGGGAGCAAACAGGG
rnacentral:rRNA from 1 species